rnacentral:rRNA from 1 species
GAUAAACGCUGGCGGCGUGCAUAACACAUGCAAGUCGAACGAAGUGGCGAACGGGUGAGUAACACGUGAGUAACAUGCCUUACACUAGGGGAUAGCCUUUGGAAACGAAGAAUAAUACCCUAUAGUGUAAGAUGGAAUUGCGUCUGAUUAGCUAGUUGGGGAGAUAAAGGCCCACCAAGGCAACGAUCAGUAGCCGGCUUGAGAGAGUGUACGGCAACCUUGGGACUGAGACACGGCCCAAACUCUACGGUAGGCAGCAGUGGGGAAGGUUCCACAAUGGGGGAAACACUGAGGCAGCGGCGCCGCGUGAUUUAUUAGGCCUUCGGGUUGUAAAAUUCUUUUUUAUGGUAUGCAGUACCUUAAGAAUAAGGUCCGGCUAAAUACGUGCCAGCAGCCGCGGUAAUAC